rnacentral:lncRNA from 1 species
CUGUAUUUGGCAAAACUUUUAGGAAUUUUGGUCCUCAAUGCUCUUCAACUUCGUACUUUGUUUGGCCAUUUUAACUUUUUUAGAUUCGAGCGUCACUGACGUAUAUACAAAAUUUAUUCCUGGUAUCUAUGAUGAGUUUAUUUGUAAUAAUUGAUGAUCAGCCAAAUAUCUUGGGAGUAACAAAAACAUCAAACAAGUGGUAAAAUCACACCAGACACAUCUUCCUAAAAGUAGAUAAAACAAAUGGAUUCAUCUAAAGAAAUAUCAACAUCUCCAUUACAGAUAUGAAAGAAAAAGUCUACACCUCCCUUGAAAGACCAA